UACGUAGGGUGCGAGCGUUAAUCGGAAUUACUGGGCGUAAAGCGUGCGCAGGCGGUUUUGUAAGGCAGAUGUGAAAUCCCCGGGCUUAACCUGGGAAUGGCAUUUGGGACUGCAAGGCUUGAGUGCGGCAGAGGAGACUGGAAUUCCUGGUGUAGCAGUGAAAUGCGUAGAUAUCAGGAGGAAUACCGAUGGCGAAGGCAGGUCUCUGGGCUGACACUGACGCUCAUGCACGAAAGCGUGGGGAGCAAGCAGG
rnacentral:rRNA from 1 species